CAGCGGGACCGGGCCCCUCUGACGGCAGCAAUGCCGUGAUGUCGGACCGCAUCG
rfam:Paracoccus sediminis strain DSM 26170 genome assembly, contig: Ga0170460_101